CAGGGAGACGACAAAAUGUUUAAUAUUAUUAUUUUGUCACCUUAAAAAAAUCGGUAUCUCACGUUUUUAAUUUAUUAAGAAUUUCAUUUCCUAAGUUUUUCUAGGUCACACCCAUUAUUUUUCCUGGGCCAUUAGCUCAGGUGGUUAGAGCGCACCCCUGAUAAAGGUGAGGUCCCUGGUUCAAGUCCAGGAUGGCCCAUAUCUCUAUGUUGGGGGUAUAGCUCAGUUGGUAGAGCGCCUGCUUUGCAAGCAGGAUGUCAGCGGUUCGAGUCCGCUUACCUCCACUGAUUACCACCUCUUCCAUAACAGGUAGAAAGGAAAUGUUUUGUGUUGUGAUCAAAUUCUCAAAGAAUCUAGCUUCCUAAUGAAAUCAUUAAGAUGCUGGACUCAUUGAAUUAAUUUCAGUGUUUUCAGAGAACCUUGACAACUGCAUAGAUUAUUUUUAAAGACAAAAAGCAUCUUUAAUGAUGCAGAUUUAUUAUUUGUGCGAAUGCAUUAAUAACAAUUCUAUUAAGCUGAUGCUUCAAUUUUUGAAGUUAUU
rnacentral:tRNA from 1 species